UACGUAGGAGGCGAGCGUUGUCCGGAGUUACUGGGCGUAAAGGGUGCGCAGGCGGUGGCCCGCGUGGGCGGUGAAAGCUCCUGGCUCAACUGGGAGAGGGCCGUCCAGACGGGGUCACUUGAGGGGCGGAGAGGGGCGUGGAAUUCCGGGUGGAGCGGUGGAAUGCGUAGAGAUCCGGAAGAACACCGGUGGCGAAGGCGGUGAGCUGGGCAGUUGGCUGACACUGGAGGCGCGACAGCGUGGGGAGCAAACAGGAUUGAGAAAC
rnacentral:rRNA from 1 species